UACGUAGGCAGCAAGCGUUGUUCGGAAUUACUGGGCGUAAAGAGUGUGUAGGCGGUGCUCCAAGUCUGGUGUGAAAUCUCCCGGCUCAACUGGGAGGGUGCGCUAGAAACUGGAAUGCUAGAGGAUGGGAGAGGUAAGCGGAAUUCCUGGUGUAGCGGUGAAAUGCGUAGAUAUCAGGAGGCACACCGGCGGUGUAGACGGCUUUCUGGACCGUAGCUGACGCUGAGACACGAAAGCGUGGGUAGCAAACAGG
rnacentral:rRNA from 1 species